rnacentral:ncRNA from 1 species
AAAUACCCCUAUCAUUAACAAAAUUAAGCUAUUAGACAAAAACCUAUUAGGACGGUGGUCAUGGAAGUUGAAAUUCACUAAGGACUGUGUAACAACUUGCCUGCCAAAUCAACUAGCCCUGAAAAUGGAUGGUGCCUGAGAGUAGG